AGUCAACCUAACCUAUGGACGGGAAUAACCUCGGGAAACUGAGAAUAAUGCCCGAUAGAACAUUAUGCCUGGAAUGGUUUAUGUUCCAAAUGAUUUAUCGCCGUAGGAUGGGACUGCGGCCUAUCAGUUUGUUGGUGAGGUAAUGGCCCACCAAGACUAUUACAGGUACGGGCUCUGAGAGGAGUAGCCCGGAGAUGGGUACUGAGACACGGACCCAGGCCCUAUGGGGCGCAGCAGGCGAGAAAACUUUGCAAUGUGCGAAAGCACGACAAGGUUAAUCCGAGUGGUUUCUGCUAAAGAAACCUUUUGUCAGUCCUAGAAACACUGAUGAAUAAGGGGUGGGCAAGUUCUGGUGUCAGCCGCCGCGGUAAAACCAGCACCUCAAGUGGUCAGGAUGAUUAUUGGGCCCAAAGCAUCCGUAGCCGGCUCUGUAAGUUUUCGGUUAAAUCUGUACGCUCAACGUACAGGCUGCCGGGAAUACUGCAGAGCUAGGGAGUGGGAGAGGUAGACGGUACUCGGUAGGAAGGGGUAAAAUCCUUUGAUCUAUUGAUGACCACCUGUGGCGAAGGCGGUCUACCAGAACACGUCCGACGGUGAGGGAUGAAAGCUGGGGGAGCAAACCGGAUUAGAUACCCGGGUAGUCCCAGCUGUAAACUAUGCAAACUCAGUGAUGCAUUGGCUUGUGGCCAAUGCAGUGCUGCAGGGAAGCCGUUAAGUUUGCCGCCUGGGAAGUACGUACGCAAGUAUGAAACUUA
rnacentral:rRNA from 1 species